UACGUAGGUGGCAAGCGUUGUCCGGAUUUAUUGGGUUUAAAGGGUGCGUAGGCGGUAGAUUAAGUCAGCGGUGAAAGACGGUCGCUCAACGAUUGCAGUGCCGUUGAUACUGGUUUACUUGAGUAAAAGAGAGGUGGGCGGAACUGAUAGUGUAGCGGUGAAAUGCAUAGAUAUUAUCAAGAACGCCAAUUGCGAAGGCAGCUCACUGGCUUUUAACUGACGCUGAGGCACGAAAGUGUGGGAAUCAAACAGG
rnacentral:rRNA from 1 species